UGCAGCAGAGAUGGGAGUUUCGUGAUCACA
rnacentral:piRNA from 1 species